rnacentral:rRNA from 1 species
AGUGAACGCUGGCGGUAGGCCUAACACAUGCAAGUCGAACGGCAGCACAGUAAGAGCUUGCUCCUACGGUUGGCGAGUGGCGGACGGGUGAGGAAUACAUCGGCAUCUACUUUUUCGUGGGUGAUAACGUAGGGAAACUUACGCUAAUACCGCAUACGUCCUACGGGUGAAAGCAGGGGAUCUUCGGACCUUGCGCGUUUGAAUGAGCCGAUGUCGGAUUAGCUAGUUGGCGGGGUAAAGGCCCACCAAGGCGACGAUCCGUAGCUGGUCUGAGAGGAUGAUCAGCCACACUGGAACUGAGACACGGUCCAGACUCCUACGGGAGGCAGCAGUGGGGAAUAUUGGGCAAUGGGCGAAAGCCUGAUCCAGCCAUACCGCGUGGGUGAAGAAGGCCUUCGGGUUGUAAAGCCCUUUUGUUGGGAAAGAAAAGAAGCAGGUUAAUACCCCGCUGUUCUGACGGUACCCAAAGAGUAAGCACCGGCUAACUUCGUG